CUGGGCAAAGGGAGGGAGCUGAACCAUCAGCUCCAAGCGUCCACAAAGUCACCCACAAAAGGAAGAGGUGGAAAGAGCAGCCAGCUCUGAACCCCGACUUGGCAAUCCCAUCAAUUAGGACCUAGCAGUCCUCAUGCCUCUCCUCUCUCCCAUUGCUCUGACCCCACUGGGAUCCCAAGUGUCAGGGAAGAGAGGAAGGCAGCAACCAUACCCCAUUUCUGGUCUGCAGGGCUUUGCUGGCGGGGGUGGGGGAUAAAGAGUAAAUCUCUGAACACAGAUUAAGGCACUGAUCAAAAUAUUUAGCUGGACACUAAAAAUGAUGACAACUAGAACACUUGACACUUAGCAACUAAUUUCUAACUUUUCACUAUGUUAGCAGAAAAAUCAUGAGCCUGCUUGGUUGGGGGCAGUGGAAGCCUUCUUUUAUUGAAAAAAAAAUUAAAGGAGACAGUGGGAUAUUAAAAUAAGGAGGUGGUGUGAUUAUAUAAUACAGAGAAUACCUAGUCAAAUAUGAGCUGCCUUUGAUUCAUUAAUACUUUGAUUUGUUGGUAAGCCAGACAUGGUUUAUCCUUUUUGGUAUUAUCAUAGCAUUUCCAUUCAUUUACUAAUUAAUUUCUAAGCUUCCACUUGGAAGUAGAUUUUAGGUAGUAGACAUUCUAGGCACAUGCUGUAGUCCUCAGUGGCUCCCCAUUACCAUAAAAUCCAGAUGCCACUGGAGGAGAUAGGGACAUUUAUUAUCUGAACCCGACAUAAAGCUGGUCAGCCUCACCACAUGAGCCUGCAGGGACCUGUAGGGCAGGGAUCCCGUCUCUCAUUUCUCUGUCCCCAGUGCCUGGCAUGUAGUCAGACCUUCACAAGUAAGAGUAAAACAAGUAAGUAAAUGAAUAUGAGAUGACUUUUAUUCAGACGUAGUUUCUUUGUAGACUCUGAGCUUUUAAGAGGAGGGAAGUGUCUUCAUUUUUAUGUCCUUAGUGCUGGGCCCUGCACUUUGGAGUUUAUAGAAUGAGUGGUAAAGAAGCCUCGCUAUAUUUCUUUCUUGUGUACACCCUGGAACUUUUAUCUUGAAAGUGGAGCUCACUUUGGGUCACCAGCUCAAAGGAAAGAGAGCAGAGUACCAGAACAAUGAGUAGCAGAGCAAAUGUCCCAAGUUCUGCCACAGGAGCGCUCACCUCUCUCAUUUCCCCAGCCCAGAUCUGACCACUCCCGGGCUCCACUGCAUGGCCCAAGGCCCCAGGACAGAAAGCCAUGGAUGUGCCUCAACUGUGCAGAAAUCCACUGUGCUGCCCUCCAAGAAUCUCUGCAGCCUGAAAGGCUCGGGUCUGGUUAAGCCCUUAAUCUGGACUGUGUUUGGGACUCACCUUGUAGCAGGCACAGUACAAGGAGGAGGGGCAUUUUCCAUCCUGCCCCCUGGUGGAUGACCUGCAAAAAAACACUGUAAAUGGAAAGAGGCCUGAGGGGAGGCAAAUGGGAAGCUGGGUGAGCAGCCCAGGGGAUGAGCACCUUCUGCCUUUGGGACCUCUGUUGGCUCAGAGAAGGGGCUGGGGUGGGUAUAUCCAAGAGCAAGACAAGGACUGCCCUGAUUGACUCUGUCCUCACACUCCUGAGCACGCACAUGGGUCACUGGCACCACAGUGAAGUGUCCCUUACCUUUAGCUCUGUGUAUUCAGAAGAGACAGAACUCUGCUCUAGGAGACCAGCUCCAGCACCCACUUGCUGAUGCCGAGCUGUGAAUUUGGAUGGAGCACGUAGAGUGGAAAGGGCGCAUGCUUGAAGUUGGACCUUAGUUGAAUGGCAGGGCCUUGGAAAAGGUAGUCUCAGGGCUCCAUGGCCCCCCCCAAAUAUGCAUGCUCAGGAGUGGGAGGACAGAGUCACCCCUUCUCAUGGGAAUGAGAGAAUCUGUGUGGGGUCAUUGUGCAACAUAGCUAGGAGUGCGGGUAGGUGGC
rnacentral:lncRNA from 1 species